AUUGAACGCUGGCGGCAUGCCUUACACAUGCAAGUCGAACGGCAGCAUAGGAGCUUGCUCCUGAUGGCGAGUGGCGAACGGGUGAGUAAUAUAUCGGAACGUGCCCUAGAGUGGGGGAUAACUAGUCGAAAGACUAGCUAAUACCGCAUACGAUCUACGGAUGAAAGUGGGGGAUCGCAAGACCUCAUGCUCCUGGAGCGGCCGAUAUCUGAUUAGCUAGUUGGUGGGGUAAAAGCUCACCAAGGCGACGAUCAGUAGCUGGUCUGAGAGGACGACCAGCCACACUGGGACUGAGACACGGACCAGACUCCUACGGGAGUCAGCAGUGGGGAAGUUUGGACAAUGGGGGCAACCCUGAUCCAGCAAUGCCGCGUGAGUGAAGAAGGCCUUCGGGUUGUAAAGCUCUUUUGUCAGGGAAGAAACGGUUCUGGAUAAUACCUGGGGUCGAUGACGGUACCGGAAGAAUAAGGACCGGCUAACUACGUGCCAGCCGCCGCAGUAAUAC
rnacentral:rRNA from 1 species